GUGGGGAAUCUUCCGCAAUGGACGAAAGUCUGACGGAGCAACGCCGCGUGAGUGAUGAAGGUCUUCGGAUUGUAAAGCUCUGUUAAUCGGGACGAAAGAGCCUAGUGUGAAUAAUGCUAGGAAGUGACGGUACCGGAAUAGAAAGCCACGGCUAACUACGUGCCAGCAGCCGCGGUAAUACGUAGGUGGCAAGCGUUGUCCGGAAUUAUUGGGCGUAAAGCGCGCGCAGGCGGAUCUGCCAGUCUGUCUUAAAAGUUCGGGGCUUAACCCCGUGAUUGGAUAGAAACUACAGAUCUAGAGUAUCGGAGAGGAAAGUGGAAUUCCUAGUGUAGCGGUGAAAUGCGUAGAUAUUAGGAAGAACACCAGUGGCGAAGGCGACUUUCUGGACGAAAACUGACGCUGAGGCGCGAAAGCCAGGGGAGCGAACGGGAUUAGAAACCCCUGUAGUCC
rnacentral:rRNA from 1 species